CUAAGGGCGUAUCUGUGUGGCUCUUUGUAGUGUCAUUUAAAAAAAUGUAUUUGAAAGGAGGGAUUUUCAAAAUCCCUCAUUCACAAGCAUCCAUAGGCAACAAAAGGGGCGCGCGCGGGAGCGCGAAUGUAGAGAAGCAAGCCGUCGUAUUGGCCCUAUUUUUUCAUUUGUGCAUGAAAUUGGGAUUUAUCUUAGGUGGCCACAUUAUAUUACCCCAAAGAUGGGUGAACCCAGCAUCUGAGCUGCUCUGCUACAUCUGUUGAUGUUGCUGUGUCAAUAAUCCAAAGGGCUCCUGUGCAUUUAACAGUUCCAGCCAGAAGACAUUCACCAAUUGCUGCUUUCCUCCAGCAUAGAGAUGCAGUCAUGUGGGCACGAAGAGGGAGAGAGAACUGUUCUGGAUGAGUUGGAAUCUUUUAUGCAGCUGGUAAACCACUGGAGUUCUGCCAGGAAAAGAGGUGGCGACACUAUAGGAGGAGGAGGAGGAGAAGCAGGAGAUCCACAAAAUGACACAAGUACUAUGUUGUAUCAAAAUUUAAGCACGUGGUUACUUUAAAAAAAAUAAAUCCCCUAGAGUGCAGGAAUUGCACAGUGGGAAACAUACAGUCUUUAAAAACAAGUAUUUUAAUUAACUUUAACAAAAUCUCACGAAUAGGUAUAGAUUUGCACAGGAUUAUCACAAAUAAUGUCUAAUUGGUGUUUGUUGCAUUUCUGUUUAUGUUAAUAAGCUAUCCCAUUCAUUGAAGUAAGGAUAAUUACAAUGAAUGUCCCAGGUUCUACAAUCUAUUAUACUAGUUGACUGGGCGCAUAGCAUCUGUGCCCCUAGUUCUCCCUGGCUAACCCCCCUUCAGCCCCUUCUCCCUAACUCUUCCACCAAGUGUCUCUAACCACCGCCCACCCUCUCGCUUCUCUCCCCACCCCCCGCUUGUGGUUUCAGACCGGCUUGCUGGCCCGUUUGCUCCUGCUGCCGCUUCCUCACACUGGCGGCGCGCAGUGCCCGCCACGGCUGGUCCCACCGCUGUCCGCCAUUUCCCUGGGCAGCAGCUCAACCGUCUCAUGAAUCCUGCCACGCGUGAGCUCCACCGCCCAGCCAAUCCGGCGCCUCGGCUUCCCAGCCAAUCCGCUGGGUUGCCGGGAUGCAUCCCUACAGAGGCACGUCUACGGGGAUUAA